rnacentral:rRNA from 1 species
GAUGAACGCUGGCGGCGUGCCUAAUACAUGCAAGUCGAGCGAACAGACGAGGAGCUUGCUCCUCUGACGUUAGCGGCGGACGGGUGAGUAACACGUGGAUAACCUACCUAUAAGACUGGGAUAACUUCGGGAAACCGGAGCUAAUACCGGAUAAUAUAUUGAACCGCAUGGUUCAAUAGUGAAAGACGGUUUUGCUGUCACUUAUAGAUGGAUCCGAGCCGCAUUAGCUAGUUGGUAAGGUAACGGCUUACCAAGGCAACGAUGCGUAGCCGACCUGAGAGGCGGAUCGGCCACACUAGAACUGAGACACGGUCCAGACUCCUACGGGAGGCAGCAGUAGGGAAUCUUACGCAAUGGGCGAAAGCCUGACGGAGCAACGCCGCGUGAGUGAUGAAGGUCUUCGGAUCGUAAAACUCUGUUAUUAGGGAAGAACAAAUGUGUAAGUAACUAUGCACGUCUUGACGGUACCUAAUCAGAAAGCCACGGCUAACUACGUG